AGCGAACGCUGGCGGCAGGCUUAACACAUGCAAGUCGAGCGGUCAUCCUUGUGGUGUCAGCGGCAGACGGGUGAGUAACGCGUGGGAACGUGCCCUUCGGUUCGGAAUAACUCAGGGAAACUUGAGCUAAUACCGGAUACGUGCGAGAGCAGAAAGGUUUUUCUGCGGAAGGAUCGGCGCGCGUCUGAUUAGCUAGUUGGUGAGGUUAUGGCUCACCAAGGCGACGAUCAGUAGCUGGUCUGAGAGGAUGAUCAGCCACACUGGGACUGAGACCCGGCGCCGACUCGUACGGGAAGCAGCAGUGGGGAAUAUUGGACAAUGGGGGCAAUGCUGAUCCAGCCAGGCCGCGUGAGUGAUGACGGCCUUAGGGUUGUAAAGCUCUUUUCUCCGGGACGAUAGUGACGGUACCGGAGGAAGAAGCCCCGGCUAACUUCGUG
rnacentral:rRNA from 1 species